rnacentral:rRNA from 1 species
CUGAACCAGCCAAGUAGCGUGAAGGAUGACUGCCCUAUGGGUUGUAAACUUCUUUUAUAAAGGAAUAAAGUCGGGUAUGCAUACCCGUUUGCAUGUACUUUAUGAAUAAGGAUCGGCUAACUCCGUGCCAGCAGCCGCGGUAAUACGGAGGAUCCGAGCGUUAUCCGGAUUUAUUGGGUUUAAAGGGAGCGUAGGUGGACUGGUAAGUCAGUUGUGAAAGUUUGCGG